rnacentral:lncRNA from 10 species
AUACACUGGAUUAAGAAAACAUGGCACAUAUACACCAUGGAAUACUAUGCAGCCAUAAAAAAUGAAGAGUUCACGUCCUUUGUAGGGACAUGGAUGAAACUGGGAACCAUCAUUUUCAGCAAACUAUCGCAAGGACAAAAACCCAAACACUGCAUGUUCUCACUCAUAAGUGGGAAUUGAACAAUGAGAACACAUGGACACAGGAAGGGGAACAUCACACUCUGGGGACUGUUGUGGGAGGGGGGAGGGGGGAGGGAUAGCAUUAGGAGAUAUACCUAAUGCUAAAUGACGAGUUAAUGGGUGCAGCACACCAACAUGGCCGAUGUAUACAUAUGUAACAAACCUGCACAUUGUGCACAUGCACCCUAAAACUUAAAGUAUAAUAAUAAU